AUCGGAUAGGGCGGGCUUGGCGCUGGCGAGCGGGGAUAACGAUAGGCCUUCAUGCUGGUCCUGAGCUUUUACCGUGAUGCUUCCCCCGUUGCCCUCUGUUUGGAUGUCCAUUCCCACCUUUGGCCUGGGUUCCACUAAGUUAAAGGAGCCCGGUACUCUUAUUCCCACGCUGCCUCCGGAAGGUAAAUCUGCUCAAAGGCGAUCUGCGUGCUGUAGCAGCUAAGAUUUGAAUCCAGACGUCAGGACUCAGUACCUUCCCUACAAAAAUCCCUUUGUGGUCCAGCCAAAGAACUAAAUGCAAGCGGGCGACCAUCUCGACCGCAGCCAGAAAGAGGGGGAAAGCGACACCAAGAAUCCAUUCCAAACGAAAAACCAAGAGG
rnacentral:lncRNA from 7 species